AGAGCCUGCAAGCAUUAAAAGCAGAAAUGGAGAUAAACAGGUAAAAAUACAACAUUUAGGACUGUAUUUAGGCUAUCUAAAUACUAGUUUCUAAAUUCCACUUUUUGACUUCAUCUGAUGCACAUAGUUCAACCUCAGCCACUUCACUCUACAUGCCUCCUUAGGGCUCUGACUUGUAAGCAAGGUGAUUUGUAUUUGAGCAACAAUACAACACAGUCAUCUGUUGUGCUCUGCUCAGAAUACAUGAGCUGAUUGUGAACCACGCUAACUCACAGUUUCAUGUUCUGAGGCAAGAUCAAGUUGGUACCAUUUUCUUUCUCACACGAUGUCACUUUAUAGGAAUUAUGUUAGAUGUCAGAUGUAUCAUAAAGCAGUGUCCUAUUCUCAGUUUGAGAAUAAACAUGUAAACGGUUUUUUUUUUCUGGGUAUCUUGGAGUGAAGCAAGGUUUUUAUUCUUGUCAAAUGUAAGAGGAGGGAAAGGGCAGCAAAACUUAAUGUAUUAAUUGCAGCUCUUUUUAGCAAUAUGUCAUGUACAAAGAAGAAAAGCAUCCUCAUAACAGAUUCCUUGUGAUGAACACAAGUAUAAAAAGCAUGACAUGAAGGGAAAAGUACUCCCAGAUGGAUGGCUGGUGGCUAAUCACUGCUGCCAUUCCUGAACUGAAUGGGAGUGUAGAAAUCUCAAUAUCGGAUGCCAUUAAAAGUUCAUCAUCUGCUAAGUUCUCCUGGUUUCACUUUACACUGUAAGAACUUGCUGUUUGUUACCUAAUGGCCAUAGAAAUAAAGCAUCAUGCAAACAUAAGGCCUAUCUGUAUACUUUAAUUCAUCUGCAGGAGAUGAUUAAAGUGUCAUUUUAAUUUUGAAUCACAGAUUCCAGAAGGGGAUAUAAUGCAAUCUAGCAAGACUACUUUAAACUUGUGCCUUUAGCUAACUUGACUGAACUAUCCUAAUUGCUUGCGUGUGUCAACAAAUUAUUUGUCAGCACAAGCAUUCUGCUCAGUCUUCUUCACCCUUUCUUCUAUAAUUCCUUCUCAUGCAACAUCUACAGCCCUUCAUUAUAUGGAUGUAGGUGUUCUGCAGUCAAAGCCCGUUGCCCCAUUGAGGUGUAUAGAAAAGUAUUUUAAGGAAAGCAGUGCUGACUUUGGAUUGCCUUGACACAUAAUGAGUAGAACUGCAGAACUUCAGACCUGACAGAUGAGCAGUGCACACAGCUAAACAACCAGAGCAGUCAUCUCAUCAACCAUCAUUCUUUCAUAUUCUAUGAUUCUGAAUGAUAAACAUAAAUAGCAGCAAAAUUAGGCCCAAGAAGGAAAUUACUAGUAACUGAUGUUGAACAAAAUUUAGGUAAAGUCUUACGGAAUUCAGUUUCUCUGAAUAUUAAUGUUGUAACUAAAUCCUCAAAUAGCCUUGAUUUUUAUUUAUUUAUUUGUUUGUUUGUUUUUUUUGCAGUGAACACAGGCUAAAAACCAGGAAGGCAACAUCUACCAGCUAGAGACAAAAACACAUAAGCCUGCUCAAGCAAUAAUGUCGCUCUCUCUACUCUUACAGCCCUCCAACACGAUACAAAGAUAAUAUUCGUAUCAGUUCCAACCUGCUUUGAAACAAGUAUACAUGAUGGAGACAGAACUGCGUUGACAUUAGAACAGACCCAUUUGUUUCACAGAACACUAUGAAAAACAGAUGUGGAAGGCAUGAAGUCAGAGUGAGGAAGAAGUCAACAGCAUAAAAAAACAGUUUAAAAUGUUCUACAACUAAAUGUUGGUAUAAAACGUAAUCAAUCAUUUUCCAGAACUGUAAUUGUUUUCUCUGGUAGUGAUUCUGAGAAAUAGGCACUUUGUAAUGAUUACAUUUUAAAACACGUAAAGGAACUUCGCAACAUUUCUCUUUCAAAAAAGAACACUUAACAACACAAGGCAUGCUCAGACAGCCAAAUCAAAAACUGAAGCCAGCAGACAGUGGGCAAGCAAUUGGAAAAUGUUUAAGAAGGCGUUACAAAUCACAGUGCUGCUCAUUUCAGCUCAUAACAUAGACUUCAAAAAGACCUGGUGUUGAGGUAUUGUUAAGCACACAAAGCAAACUUUACUUAGAAUAUAUUUAUAAGAAUACCAACUAUGGAAACAGAUUUUCAUUCAGACUGAUUUUUAUUUUUAUUUUAAUUUACUGCUCUGAUUAAAAACAGACAAACAAACUCAAAUGCUUUCCUUUGAGGAAAAAGGCUUUCAACUGAAGCCAUCUUCUCAGGAAUUAUAAAAAGAGGUAAAGGUGAAGUGUAGGCUUUGUUAACCUUGACAAUGUCAGUUUGAAGUCUCCAGCCAUCUGAUUAGUGAGCUUUUGAUUUAUUUUCUGAAGUGAAAUCUUACUGAACAAGGUAAGUAGCUGUCUGCUUGCAGCAAGCAAUAAAAGCAAUUUCUCAUGUAUAUUAGAAUUAGACUGUCAAAUCUAAACAGACAUUGAAUUACUGCUGCAGAAUGCAUUUGAGUUACAAUUUGUGUGGAAGGAACAGUAAGAAAAAGCCACAAGUGAAUUGCAAGGCUUACGGUUUUUUUUUAGCCUUCUCUUAUAAACUUCCUCUAUGGUGGUAAAUGGUGGGAGUCAAAUAAAAUAUAUAGAAAAAUAUACAGAAAAAGCACAGAUUAGAUAAGGUUUGCAUUUUAAUGAGAAUACACAUUCUAGUAUACUAGAAAGAACAUUAUUUUUCUACUUUAUUUGAGAAGACUCCUGAAAAUCUGAUGAAUUGUUACAAUUUUUUUCAAAAGCAUUAUUACUGCUGCAUACUGUCUCUUUUCAAAUAUAGUCUAAGUGUUUUCCUUAAGGUAGCAUGAAGAAUCUGUACAGACUCUUCUCCCACUGGAUUCAAGCUGAAUUGCACCUAUCUUCAGCGUGAACUGGACAAGACACACUGCUAGAAGCUGAAAGUUGCUGAGCUCUCAACUUGUUGGCAUACAGCUACCUGUCCCUUGAAAUAUCACAACUUGAGAACCUCAUAGAAAAUACAACAUUCUAUUAGUAGGAGAGUCUGCCCACAAUACAGUGUUGUUAGAGGAAGUAAUAUCUAGUUAGACAUGCAGUAUUUCACAUGCACAAACUCUGCAAAUGAAUAAAAUCAGCGCUAGGUACAUGUUAAGGUUUCACAGAACAGGACUGUCACUGCUUCCGAAUAAACAACAGUCAAGUGAGCACUAAGAAUGAGGGAGCACAAACCUCCUGAAGUCUCAAACAAAGGCACUAUUUGUAAACAAUAGGUAACAUCCACAAAAAAUUUAGUGCAGCUAUCUGAUACACCAUGGUAAACCUGCACACAGAUAAUCCUGCACUAAGAGUCAGUAUUGUGGAUGAAAAAGUUCACUAAUGUCAUAAAGCUCACAACUGACAGAAGCUGUAGGAAGACUGUGGCAUCACUGGUUGUGACCAAAGGGUAAGCAAACUGAUCAAUCUGUUAUUCACCUCUAUCAAGUAUGCAGACUUAACACAGAAAUCUGUGACACGGUCCAGAACAAAGGAAAGAUGUGCAUUAACAGAUGUUUCAGAAUGUUAAAUCAUUCCAACAUUAUACCUCGCUACUAUUGAGACUGUUUGUCUUAAAAAAUGGCAACUGUCAAGAUUUCUCAAAGUAACUUUGAAGGUAUACACAAAAAUAUAUAUUCCUUUUGAACAAGAACAACUCUUUGAAAUUAUAAAUAGAAUCCCAGUUGAAAAAAUUUCAGUGGAAUUCCCCUCCUCUUACCUCUUUCUGCAACUUCGCUAUGUGAUGAGGUCCUAGAUAGCUGACAUUGUAAGCGUUCAAUUUCUGCAUCUUUGAGAGCUAAUUGCUCCUGAAGCUGGGCUAUCUCAGCCUGAGAGUAAAACAAAUUCAGAAUAACAUGA